CUGGACAGCAGCUCCGGAAGCGCCUUUCCUUCCCCCCCUUUCCUUGAGAGGAAGCUAGGGUGAUGGUGACCAUCGCUAGCUAUAGAAAAAAAAGGAGACCUUGGUGAUGAUCCUUAAAAUAAUACCAUGCAGGAGUCCCCCUCUUCUGCAAGCUUCUCUCCUUUCAACCUUCCUGACCCAGUGGGAUUUGGGUGAGAUCCCUAGGAGGAACCUUCGCUGCAGCAGGUUUCUCAGAUCCAUCAUCAAGCUGAAAUGAAGACCUUGGAAGCUGAAGAAAGCUGAGUGCACCACUACCUGGCUUCAGAGAAAGGAACUACUGGUCCAGCCAACCUUUCUCCGGACGACUUUUGGUAGCUUUAAAUUGCCAGUAGCCUACCUUGAAAGACACAGCUAUUGCUUCUUUCAGCACACAUGGAGGAAGGCAGCAAAGUGUGUAACCCUGGCUAAUCAGACUGUGGCUUUCCUAUGAAGAGUAGAAGGCAGACCAAUCAUAAAAGGAUUAUUUCACAGUUAGCCUCCAGGACUUUACCUCUGACCUGAUCACUGGACACAAAUUCAAGCCAAUUCCAACAACCUGAGUUUUCACUACCUGUUCUUUAUCAUUGUUUUAAUUUUUCUUUCUUUGGUAU
rnacentral:lncRNA from 1 species